GACGAACGCUGGCGGCGUGCCUAAUACAUGCAAGUAGAACGCUGAAGGAGGAGCUUGCUUCUCCGGAUGAGUUGCGAACGGGUGAGUAACGCGUAGGUAACCUGCCUGGUGGCGGGGGAUAACUAUUGGAAACGAUAGCUAAUACCGCAUAACAGUAGAUAUUGCAUGAUAUCUGCUUGAAAGGUGCAAUUGCAUCACUACCAGAUGGACCUGCGUUGUAUUAGCUAGUUGGUGAGGUAACGGCUCACCAAGGCGACGAUACAUAGCCGACCUGAGAGGGUGAUCGGCCACACUGGGACUGAGACACGGCCCAGACUCCUACGGGAGGCAGCAGUAGGCAAUCUUCGGCAAUGGACGGAAGUCUGACCGAGCAACGCCGCGUGAGUGAAGAAGGUUUUCGGAUCGUAAAGCUCUGUUGUAAGAGAAGAACGAGUGUGAGAGUGGAAAGUUCACACUGUGACGGUAGCUUACCAGAAAGGGACGGCUAACUACGUG
rnacentral:rRNA from 1 species